ACUGAACGCUGGCGGCAGGCCUAACACAUGCAAGUCGAGCGGGGUUUUCGGACCUAGCGGCGGACGGGUGAGUAAUGCGUAGGAAGCUGCCCGAUAGAGGGGGAUACCAGUUGGAAACGACUGUUAAUACCGCAUAAUGUCUACGGACCAAAGUGUGGGACCUUCGGGCCACAUGCUAUCGGAUGCGCCUACGUGGGAUUAGCUAGUCGGUGAGGUAAUGGCUCACCAAGGCGACGAUCUCUAGCUGGUUUGAGAGGAUGAUCAGCCACACUGGAACUGAGACACGGUCCAGACUCCUACGGGAGGCAGCAGUGGGGAAUAUUGGACAAUGGGCGCAAGCCUGAUCCAGCCAUGCCGCGUGUGUGAAGAAGGCCUUCGGGUUGUAAAGCACUUUCAGCGAGGAGGAAGGGUGGUGUGUUAAUAGCACAUCAUUUUGACGUUACUCGCAGAAGAAGCACCGGCUAACUCUGUGCCAGCCGCCGCCGUAA
rnacentral:rRNA from 1 species